rnacentral:rRNA from 1 species
GAUGAACGCUGGCGGCGUGCUUAACACAUGCAAGUCGAACGAUGAUCCGGUGCUUGCACCGGGGAUUAGUGGCGAACGGGUGAGUAACACGUGAGUAACCUGCCCUUAACUCUGGGAUAAGCCUGGGAAACUGGGUCUAAUACCGGAUAUGACUCCUCAUCGCAUGGUGGGGGGUGGAAAGCUUUUUGUGGUUUUGGAUGGACUCGCGGCCUAUCAGCUUGUUGGUGAGGUAAUGGCUUACCAAGGCGACGACGGGUAGCCGGCCUGAGAGGGUGACCGGCCACACUGGGACUGAGACACGGCCCAGACUCCUACGGGAGGCAGCAGUGGGGAAUAUUGCACAAUGGGCGCAAGCCUGAUGCAGCGACGCCGCGUGAGGGAUGACGGCCUUCGGGUUGUAAACCUCUUUCAGUAGGGAAGAAGCGAAAGUGACGGUACCUGCAGAAGAAGCGCCGGCUAACUACGUGCCAGCAGCCGCGGUAAUACGUAGGGCGCAAGCGUUAUCCGGAAUUAUUAGGCGUAAAGAGCUCGUAGGCGGUUUGUCGCGUCUGCCGUGAAAGUCCGGGGCUCAACUCCGGAUCUGCGGUGGGUACGGGCAGACUAGAGUGAUGUAGGGGAGACUGGAAUUCCUGGUGUAGCGGUGAAAUGCGCAGAUAUCAGGAGGAACACCGAUGGCGAAGGCAGGUCUCUGGGCAUUAACUGACGCUGAGGAGCGAAAGCAUGGGGAGCGAACAGG